CAGGCAGCCUGCUCUUCCCCCCCGCUACACGCUGCGGGCUAAUCCGCUCACUCACUCCGUGUUGGGUUACAGUGACAAGGGCCCUGUCUGAACCACGACUUUUAGAAAGAUAAUAUUACAGGCUCACAGCUGAUCCAUCCUUCAGCACAAAACAGAGACAGUGAAGGUUAAAGCACUCUGCAUGCAUGGGACCAUACUGCAGCUGGCAGACCAGCUGAUAUGCAUUUUAUAUGCCAGUGAAAAGGAGACUUUACUGGACCAUUUACCAUCUGACAUCACGCUGAAGUCUGGUUGAGGUAUUUAUGCCUUUGGCAGGGUCUUGGUCUUUUGUUUCGCCCUGCUCCUCUUCAGCUCCACAAGGCGGCCCAUGUGAACACAGGCCCCUCAAAGCGCCUCCCAGCACUCCUCCAUGUUCUCCUCCAUCUGCCUCCUGUCCAUUGAUCAGCCUUCCAGGGCAUCAGUCUGCCUAACAUCUGCUACAAGUUCCAGCAGCUCAGAGGGACCUCCACUGUGGAUGAAAUUUAGCCCCAACCUCUGACCUUUGGGGUUCAGCGUUUGUCUCCAGUCCAGUGACCACAAACAACUCCUGGAUUGCUGUAAAUGUCAGUGCAGCAGUGUCCCCGCCCUCUCCCCUGUGAACCACAGAGCUGCACUCAACCUGCACUAACAGGACACUUUCAUGAGAGCUCCAUUAUCAGUUAUGCUGCAUUUGAUAGCUCAGAUUUCAUGAUGACCAUUUCAUAAAUUAAACAGCAGUCAUCAAACAAAGAGCUAAUAAUCAUUUUUGUUUUGUUUUGUUUUUCAGAUUCGGCUCUGCCAGUCUGGAAUUUCAUAGCUUAAGCAACUUGAUGUAUUGAAAAUAUGAAUGACUUUCAUCAUUUAAACUUCUGUAAAUGUAAGAUUUUAGAGCAGUAAAAUUAAUGUGACCCAUUUAGCACACAAAAUAGCCUCCAUCAUCCAUCAUAAACCUCGGUUUUAAUAGAUUGUAAUUCAUGUUCCGAAGACGUCGCUUGUAAUGCAUCCCAUUUUGAAGCACUUUGGCUUUCCCUUCCCCCACCCAUAAACACACACUCUCCCUUUUUCUCCUCCCUGGGCCUCCUGAGGUUGGUGUCUCUGCGUUAGGACUCUAUUGUUGCCUACUGCUGGAUAAUGCCCUUAUUAAUUGUACCUCUUUGUAAGGUGUCAGCUGUAGCCUCAGAUUGAGAUGGAUGGAUCUCUGGAGCCUGCUCCCUGGCCCUCCACAGACUCUCUAUCUCUGCACAGCACACAGAUGCAACAGUGAGUGCUGCCACACUAUGACUAAAACCUGAGAUAAAGCAGUCAUUUUAAUUAUUGCACCAGAGGAAAAAAGAAAGAAAAGAAAAGAAAAGAAACAUUUCCAAACUGAAAAGCCUGUUUUUUCACAAGGUGAGGUAGCAUUUCAUGCGUUUCAGGUAUCUGUAUCCAUGGUAGUGAUGAAAUUUCUUUUUUUUUCAUUAUUGAUUAUUUUAGUGUGUUACAGAAAUACUGGUUAAUUAGGUGGAUUGAAGCCUCUGCGAGAUCAACAGCAUUAACAUCAAAUCCGUUCCCUCUCAUUAAAGGAAACAGAGUCAAUUUAAUUAAUGCAUAUUAAUCCCCUGUGAUGCUCAUUUUAGCUUUAAAAAAGUGUGGCAGAGUCUAUGUUAGAUUUGUCUAUUUCUAAGGCUUGAUCGUUUUCUGAAUCAAAAUGAGACCUCAGUUUGAAAGAAACUGAGGUCUCAUUUUUUCUGAAUUUGUAGAUUUGUUUAUGAAAUAGUUA